GACAAGUUGGAUAAAGACAACAAGCAGCUGCCUGAGGAGGAAAAGACCUUUGCUUCAGAGGAAAAACGGGACUCCAGAGCCGUGGCCAUAUCUGUUGACAAAUGAAUGUGUGUGAGAGCCAAAGUGAUCCUUGGCCUGGAGCUGAAUAGGACAGGAGGAGCAUGGGAGGAGGAGAUGAGCAGGAGGAGGAGGAAAAAAUAAAGAAGGGACGAAGAAGCACCGGGAUGAAGGUGGAAAAAGAAAAGAGUCAUCGUCCUUCACACGAAGUGUUUCAACUUGCACUGGACAAAAAGGACCUGUAUCCUUAAAGAGCCAAUGGUAUAUAUAUGGAUCUGUAUCCAGAUCUGUGAGACUCUUUGUAUCCAACUAUGCCAAAAUCACACCCCAGUACUCUUGCUGGGGGUUUGAGACAGCCUGUCUAUCCACUCCACUCUAUAAAAUUGUCUAAUUGUUUUUUCAAACAAAGGCAAAAAUGUGUUUGUCUUGUUUGAGGACAG